ACCUGACCGUUACCUCGUUGCGUAUACUACUUGUCAUUCUGUCGAAUAACCGACAUCCCGUCCUCUCCCUCUCUCUGAGACUUUUAAAACGAAUCGGAAACAAAAUUCGUAUAACCAUUCUUGCUUUGUUCUUUUUUGUGAUUCAACCCGUUAGGUUUCGCUCCGUCCCUGUCUCAAGUCUCUUCCAUAUUCCCUCCAUUCCAAUCUGAAACAAAGAAAAGGGAAAAAGUCGCAUAAACGAAAUCGCUUUGAAGUUUCCGUGAGUCGCUACAAGAGUUGAGACGAAGACGAACACCUGUAAAAGUAAAACCUCUCCCGGGUUUUCUCCUCCUCUAAUUAUUUGUAUCCUGAUAUCUGGAUUGCAACUUCGUCAGAUGCUCUGGAUUUGGGACCCAUAGUUUGAACCUUUCUGGUUUGCAGAUUCGGUUCUUGAACUGUAGAACUAGGGUUCGAGAGGUUUUGGGAGAACCAGUGCUUUCCCAUGGUAUGUCCUGAUGUUGACUUCGAACUCCAAUUGGUUGGAAGAUCUUCCUGCUGGCGAUGACUUUGCCGGUGAUAACUCGGACAGUUUCUCAAUUGAUAUCGAUCAAUUAUAUGCCAUUCUUGGAGAAAGUUCUGAUCCGUUGCUGGACUCCUCGCAGGUCCCUGCGGAGGAAGAUAACUAAUCAUGUUUAAAGAGUAGGGGAAAAUAGGAUCAAGAAUUCACAGGGAUGAUAUUGAUCUCCUUCACAUGGGUCUCAGUAGUCGAGACCAGAACUAGAAAACAAAAUGUGGGAGUGAGAAGCGGUUGAGUACUUGAGUUAACAAAGAUGCUUGCUCAUCAAUGAAUCUGCACUAUAAUAUACAUUUGGGAGGACGGGAAAUUUUAACAUAUUAUGCCAUUAUUUCACAUAUAUGAAGGAGUUAUUAAAGGUCGAAAUUGGCACAGUUUUUACUAUUUACAAACUUAAAGACUUGUGAGCAUGAAAACUGAUGAUAGUUCCUUCUUUUGUC